rnacentral:rRNA from 1 species
GACGAACGCUGGCGGCGUGCCUAAUACAUGCAAGUAGAACGCUGAAGGAGGAGCUUGCUUCUCUGGAUGAGUUGCGAACGGGUGAGUAACGCGUAGGUAACCUGCCUGGUAGCGGGGGAUAACUAUUGGAAACGAUAGCUAAUACCGCAUAAGAGUAGAUGUUGCAUGACAUUUGCUUAAAAGGUGCAAUUGCAUCACUACCAAAUGGACCUGCGUUGUAUUAGCUAGUUGGUGGGGUAACGGCUCACCAAGGCGACGAUACAUAGCCGACCUGAGAGGGUGAUCGGCCACACUGGGACUGAGACACGGCCCAGACUCCUACGGGAGGCAGCAGUAGGGAAUCUUCGGCAAUGGACGGAAGUCUGACCGAGCAACGCCGCGUGAGUGAAGAAGGUUUUCGGAUCGUAAAGCUCUGUUGUAAGAGAAGAACGAGUGUGAGAGUGGAAAGUUCACACUGUGACGGUAUCUUACCAGAAAGGGACGGCUAACUACGUG